rnacentral:misc_RNA from 1 species
CACAAUAUAGGCUACUCCAUUCAGCGCACAUUUCUCUCCCUCGCUCUCUCGCUCUCUCUCCAUCCAUCGACGGAAAAAGGAGAGAGUCGCAUCUCCUCAUAACACGCGAUUUGCUCCUGUCGCUCACCCACUUACGUCACAUACUUCUUCAAAAGUGCUACGAAUACACAUACAGAGAAUCAGAGAUGGGGCUUAGCUUUACGAAGCUAUUUAGCCGGCUUUUUGCCAAGAAGGAGAUGCGAAUUCUGAUGGUGGGUCUUGAUGCUGCCGGAAAGACCACUAUUUUGUACAAGCUCAAGCUUGGAGAAAUUGUCACCACCAUCCCUACUAUUGGAUUUAAUGUGGAGACAGUGGAAUAUAAGAACAUCAGCUUCACUGUUUGGGAUGUUGGUGGUCAGGACAAGGUGUGAGAUUCUUUAAAUAUAAUUCCAUCUCUUUGAUGGCGGUGAAGUCUUCUCUUUGAUAAUUUUGAUGAGAUACUACUUUUUUUUUUCAAUCCUUGUCUUGCAUUAGACUAUAACACUUAUGGAAUGAACAAUUUUGUUUAAAAAUAAUUAUGUAGAGGUUAGCACUAUAGUUUAUAAUCUUUUUGAUUGUUUAAAGUGAAUACUAUUUUGUCAUAUAGAUUCGUCCCUUGUGGAGGCACUACUUCCAAAACACCCAGGGUCUCAUAUUUGUGGUGGACAGCAAUGACAGAGACCGUGUUGUGGAGGCAAGGGAUGAGUUACACAGAAUGUUGAAUGAGGAUGAGCUGCGAGAUGCAGUGUUGCUUGUAUUUGCUAAUAAGCAGGAUCUUCCCAAUGCAAUGAAUGCUGCUGAGAUCACUGACAAGCUUGGGCUACACUCCCUCCGUCAGCGUCGCUGGUAAACUUACUAUUUAUGUUUUCCUGUUACUUGUGCUUGUAGUUAUCAAUUUUGGCCUUCAUUAUUUUGCUUGUAAUUCUUCCCCCUCUCCUGUUUUGGGUGCAGUUAACAUAAUCUGACCUUAGAUAAGAAUAAACUUAACAUUCCUUAGAUCAAAUAUUUGUAUCAAGAUUUGUGCAGAGUCAAUUCAGGUCUACACAUAAUUAAAAUAAUGAGUGCAUCAAUUUCGAUGCAAAUAUUUGAUCUAAAAGUUGUUAAGUUUGUUUUUAUAUAAUGCUGAGCUUAUAGUUUCUGCACCAUUUUUUGCUGUUAGGAUUUUAUGGAUGAUCAAAAUAUGCUUUGUGGUCCUUAGGUACAUCCAGAGCACCUGUGCAACCUCUGGUGAGGGGCUUUAUGAGGGCUUGGACUGGCUAUCCAAUAAUAUUGCUAACAAGGCAUAAAGCAAACAAUGAGACAUUUUGUGGAAUGGCAAUUCUGGAUGCAGGGUGAAUAUUAUCUAGUGAUUUUGUUUUUCUUUUUGAGAGAACUGGAUUGUGUUUACAUCCCUUUUCUUUUUGGGAUGAUCUUUCUAAUUAGGACCCUGUUUACUCUUUUUUGUUUUUAUUAAUUUUUUUUUUAGCGAAGUAACUUGUAGUGGAAUAUGGGCUGGAUAUACCAUUGAGAAUUUAUCUGCAGUUGGAUUCGAUGCUUCUAGUUGUAAUUGAAAUGUAUUUUGUGUUCCAUCCUUUCCUAUAUUGCUUUUACCCGCUAGGUAUUCUUGCAACAGUUUGGUAUUUUGUUACUUUUUAUGCGUAUAUUCCAGUGACGGAGCAAGAUGAAGUCCCAUGUCUAAAAUGUUGUGUUAAAUGUUUGUUCCUAUAUAGUUUGAUAGAUAAUGAUUAUUAUGUUGUGUUAAAUGUUUGUUCCUAUAUAGUUUGAUAGAUAAUGAUUAUUAUUUUUUCCAUAAAUUAGUCUCGGGGAGAUCAGGUCGUUGUUCUAAAAGUUAUUGGUGGCAAGUUCUUUUGGUGUUAGGGGUUGUAAAAUCUCCUGGUUUUCACUGGAUUUGAUUGUAUUUGCAUAUACCCUGUGAACUUCAAUUAUGGGUCUAGUUCAGGAUUAAAAGUAAUUAUAAAAAAAAAAACU